rnacentral:lncRNA from 1 species
CUAGUUUUUAGAUUUUUCUCUGAAAAAUAGUAAUUAAAAAUUAUCCCCGAAUUAUUAUUUUCUUAGCAAAAGCAGAAUUUAUUGAAAAUAUGUUGUGUAUUGCAUUUUAAAAGGGGUAUAAGUGAAAUAUUAGAUUCAAUACACAUGAUAUAUAAGGAUUCUAAGUAAAGAGGCAAUGUAGUGGACCAUAGCAUUAUAAAAACACACAAAUUUAAUAGUCAAGAUUAGAUAAGGUUAUCACAUCCGACAUAAUAGUGGCAAUAAAAUCUUCUUUUCACAUGUUUGGCUACUAGCACCCCAGUUUCAUCUGUUCCAACU